rnacentral:rRNA from 1 species
AAUAUUGGACAAUGGGCGAAAGCCUGAUCCAGCCAUGCCGCGUGUGUGAAGAAGGUCUNAGGAUUNUNAAGCACUUUAAGUUGGGNGGAAGAGUUGUAGGCUAAUACCUUGCAAUUUUGACGUUACCAACAGCAUAAGCACCGGCUAACUUCGUGCCAGCAGCCGCGGUAAUACGAAGGGUGCAAGCGUUAAUCGGAAUUACUGGGCGUAAAGCGCGCGUAGGUGGUUCGUUAAGUUGGAAGUGAAAGCCCCGGGCUUAACCUGGGAGCUGCUUUCAUAACUGCUGAGCUAGAGUACGGUAGAGGGUAGUGGAAUUUCCUGUGUAGCGGUGAAAUGCGUAGAUAUAGGAAGGAACAUCAGUGGCGAAGGCGACUACCUGGACUGAUACUGACACUGAGGUGCGAAAGCGUGGGGAGCAAACAGG